GUGUCUUGUGGAUAGAAAUUAGGGAGAAAAAUUAGGAAUAAGAAUAUAGAAUUAAAAACAAAAAUUGAUCCUCAUCCUUCUCCUCUUUCUUUUUGCUCUCUCUCGACGUCUCUUUCCUCUCUCUGUAAUCUUCACAACAGCCUUCUCUCUCCCUCCGAUCAGCCACCAUCUCCGAUCACUCCACCACGGAACAUGUAACACACUCCACUAAUUCAAGCUCUCAAUUCCCCAUCUUCUUCUCAAUUUCGGAGCUUAGGUUGCAAACCCACCUCCACUUAUUUUUGGAAAAUAAUUGAAAUUAGAGGUGAACCGAGUGCAAGCACAAGCGAUAAGGGAAAGGGGCACCUCCAUGGUUGAAUAAGCAAGUAAUAGCGGGUUUUUUUUUACGUGUACAGAGUAUAGAAGCGAGUGAACUCGCUAGUUGGCAGCAGCACGUGUUAAGUCACUACCCUCCCUUUUUGCUGGUAAAGUUGGAGUUCUCACGUGGCAUGCUUAGGCUAACUUUUGGUUGUUUGUAGUUAGUUGGAAAUGUAAGGUUAUAACCUUCU